CUCCAACUCAAAAAAAAAAAAAAAAAGAAGGGGCAAAAUAAAAACACUGCUUUUGGGUGAAGUGGCAGCAUGUUGUGUUGUUUUGCUUUUAUCGGUGGCGUGACAGUG
rnacentral:snoRNA from 1 species